rnacentral:rRNA from 1 species
AACGAACGCUGGCGGCAGGCCUAACACAUGCAAGUCGAGCGGACCUUUCGGGGUCAGCGGCGGACGGGUGAGUAACGCGUGGGAAUAUGCCCUUCUCUACGGAAUAGUCCUGGGAAACUGGGGGUAAUACCGUAUACGCCCUUUGGGGGAAAGAUUUAUCGGGGAAGGAUUAGCCCGCGUUGGAUUAGGUAGUUGGUGGGGUAAUGGCCUACCAAGCCGACGAUCCAUAGCUGGUGUGAGAGGAUGAUCAGCCACACUGGGACUGAGACACGGCCCAGACUCCUACGGGAGGCAGCAGUGGGGAAUCUUAGACAAUGGGGGCAACCCUGAUCUAGCCAUGCCGCGUGAGUGAUGAAGGCCUUAGGGUUGUAAAGCUCUUUCAGCUGGGAAGAUAAUGACGGUACCAGCAGAAGAAGCCCCGGCUAACUCCGUG